UGGGCACAAUGAAGCAGAUUUAACUGCCUC
rnacentral:piRNA from 1 species